UUAAGUGACGAUAGCCUAGGAGAUACACCUGUACCCAUGCCGAACACAGCAGUUAAGCCCUAGAACGCCUGAAGUAGUUGGGGGUUGCCCCCCUGUUAGAUACGGUAGUCGCUUAGC
rnacentral:rRNA from 1 species